rnacentral:rRNA from 1 species
CCUACGGGAGGCAGCAGUGGGGAAUCUUGCGCAAUGGGCGAAAGCCUGACGCAGCCAUGCCGCGUGAAUGAUGAAGGUCUUAGGAUUGUAAAAUUCUUUCACCGGGGACGAUAAUGACGGUACCCGGAGAAGAAGCCCCGGCUAACUUCGUGCCAGCAGCCGCGGUAAUACGAAGGGGGCUAGCGUUGCUCGGAAUUACUGGGCGUAAAGGGAGCGUAGGCGGAUAGUUUAGUCAGAGGUGAAAGCCCAGGGCUCAACCUUGGAAUUGCCCUUGAUACUGGCUAUCUUGAGUACGGAAGAGGUAUGUGGAACUCCGAGUGUAGAGGUGAAAUUCGUAGAUAUUCGGAAGAACACCAGUGGCGAAGGCGACAUACUGGUCCGUUACUGACGCUGAGGCUCGAAAGCGUGGGGAGCAAACAGGAUUAGAUACCCUGGUAGUCCACGCUGUAAACGAUGAGUGCUAGUUGUCGGCAUGCAUGCAUGUCGGUGACGCAGCUACGCAUAAGUACACUCCGCCGUCGGGGAGGUACGGUCGCGAAGAAUUAAACUACAAUAGAAGUUAGACGGCGUGAGACGUGCCGACGGACGACGACGAGGGAGGUUAGG